rnacentral:tRNA from 1 species
UGGAUAUUAGUCUAACCAAGACAGUUAAUUUCGACUUAACAAAUUUGGCCACUAUAAGCCAAAUAUCC